rnacentral:rRNA from 1 species
UACGGAGGGGGCAAGCGUUGUUCGGAAUCAUUGGGCGUAAAGAGUAUGUAGGCGGCUAUUUAAGUCAGACGUGUAAGCCCACGGCUCAACCGUGGAAUUGCGUUUGAAACUAUUUAGCUUGAGUACAGGAGAGGAAGGCGGAAUUCCCAGUGUAGCGGUGAAAUGCAUUGAUAUUGGGAAGAACACCGGUGGCGAAGGCGGUCUACCAGAACACGUCCGACGGUGAGGGAUGAAAGCUGGGGGAGCAAACCGG